rnacentral:lncRNA from 12 species
AUUCAGUGUGUCCUGUUAUUUUAGCACUAAUCAAACAAUAGGACAUCAAUUUACUUUGAUUUACUCUUCAAAAAAAAAAAAAAAAAAAAAAGGAAAACAAGAAAAAAAAGACUUGUCUCAAAAAAGACAGUCUCUCAGACUUUGCUGUUCACUUCUGUCAGUUCUGAUUUGAAUUGAGAAUUGACAUAUUUAAUUUUAGGCACCUGUCCAGUGAAACAUUUACAGAUAAUAUUUGUCUUGUCUUGUAUGUCACGCAAUGCUGCCCUCUACAGUCGUUCUCGAGUACUGACGCUUCUGACAGAAUGUAUUAUGUUACUUGUUGCAUAUGCUUGAUACAUUUAUAGGAUUUUUCGCUGAGCAUAAGUGACGGCGUGGUUUUUUAUAGUUUAUUUAUUUAUUUGUUUAUUUAUUUAUUUAUUUUUAAAUUGUAUUACAUACUUUAAAGAGUAACAUUAAAACGGAGUUCUCUUCACGGCAUCUAGGGGGCAUCAUCUGUCAAUUCCUCAGUGCACGUGCGACAGGUGCUGCGCGAGGGAAAAGAACUUUAAAUGAAGAAAGUGAACGUGUUCACAAACCACUCGCUGUUUACAUGGUUUAAUAACUUCACACUCCUUAACAUAACUGCAGUAGCCUGUGUCGAUGCUGAUAUCUUUCCGUCCUGAAAUAAUUUCUAAAUAUUAAAAUUACACACUUGAUGCUCAUAAAAGCAGCAAGAAGACAAUUAUUUUUACCCUCAAACUUUUCAAUAUGCUUCUUUUCUUUUCUUUUCUUUUCUUUUCUUUUCUUUUCUUCCAUUCGACCUCUGUCUUCUUCAGCAGUAACUCAAGGGAUUUUUAAUCUCUCUCUUUUAUUAGUUUUCUAAUCCUUUAACUCACCUUCACGGGGGGUAAAAUGUCUCUCUUGCACUGAUUUCACCUCUGCCCUCCGAUUAUUUUUCACUUAAUCAUUGCUCCUCAGUGGAGCUUGUGGAGGCGCGUCCUGAAACGCAAAGCGCAAGCGCGUUCCAGUUGCAACGGGCCAGUGACGCACGGACGCGCAGCUGCCCCGAGGCACCGCGAGAGCGUUAGCGGCACACUAUGUGCCAAGUGUCCCACCAGCCACAGUCUCCUGCGGGACAUGGGGCAAAUACUGCGAACGAUCGCACACCGGGCUCGACUUUACCAAGGAAGGCGCUGGAAGAUGGAAACGUCUUUGCAGUGCACUGAUGCCGUCAGAAAAGAAAGGAAAACAGACAUGCAGCCAUAGCUGAGUCCCUCCAAAACUGCUUAGCCCAACAGUCCCUCUUACUCC